ensembl:lncRNA
CAUUUCCUUUCCAUACAGCCACUCAAUUGGGGUUAUGGUGAGAAUAUUCCUCACAAAUCCUGGUUCUAGUGUACUGGCACAACUCCCUGUACGGUCUCAGGGUUCCCUGGUCACUGAGGACUCGUCUAGACUUCAGGUACCCUGUUUAUCCUCUCCAUGCUGUUCCUGCUCUCCUGACUAUCUCUUGACAAGUCACUGCCCUGCAAGCCACCCCCUAAUCAACUUCUGGCUUCCUAUCCUUGCAGGGCAGGUGCUCCAGAUCUCUGAUCAUCUUCACAGCCCUCCUCUGGACCCUCUCCAACAGCUCCACGUCUUUUCAGUACUGGUGGUCCCAGACCUGGAUGCAGUACUCCAAAUGGGGCCUCAAGAGGGCAGAGUAGAGAGGAAUAUCACCUCUCGGUCCCUGCUGUCCACCUCUCUUCUGAUGGAGCUCAGGGUACCAUUGGCCUUCCAAGUUACAAGAGCACACUGCUGGUUCACUUUCAGUUUUUUAUUCACCAGGACCCCCAGGUCCUUCUCCACAGGAUUUUUUCUCAAGGAGUUUUUCUCCUAGUCUGCAUACAUAUCUGGGGUUACUUCAACUCAAGUGCAAAGCCUUGUACUUUGCUGUGUUGAACCUCAUUAGGCUUAUGUUUGCCCACCUUUCAAGUUUGUUGAGGUCCCUCUGGAUGGCUUCGCUUCCUUCUAACAUCUCAACCGCACCACUAAGCUUGGUGCUAUCAGCAAACUUGCUCAGGGUGCACUCAAACCCAUCAUCGAUGUCAUUGAUGAAGAUCUGGAAGAGCACCAGUCCCAAGACAGACCCCUGGGGGACACCGCUUGUCACAAGCCUCCACCUGAACAUAGUGCCAUUCAACACAACCCUCUGACUACAGUCUUCCAAUCAAUUCCUUAUCCACCAAAUAGUCCACCCCUCAAAUCCAUCUCUCUCCAAUUUCGAGAUCAGGAUGUGGUGGGGGACCAUGUCAAAGGCCUUGCACAAGUCCAGGUAAAUGAUAUUGGUCGCCUCCCUUUGUCAACCAAUGCCACUCAAUGUCGUAACUCCAUAGAGUGAGAAUUGGUCUUAGAAAGUAUGCAUAAGCACAGAUAUGCAAACACUAAAGAACUUAACAGCAUCUAUCUUCCAUUCCAAUCAUCUCUAACUUAUUUAAAAUAUAUGGUUUAACCCUUUUUCAAACCAAUGUUUCUCCUUUAGAAUAUGAAAAAUUAAGUGACAGUUAUUAAUUUUGUUGGCAAAUAUAUAUUACUUGUUUUGAUUCGUGUAAGAGAUUAUUCUUUUGUCUCAUCAUUGUCUCAAAGUUUGCUGAGGGACACAGAUGAAUAAGUCCAAGCAAGUCCUGAACAAAGAUUGAGAAAUCCUUUGUCUGGAGAACACAGAUGGGCAAGUCCUGGGCAGGGGUUGCAAAAUCCUUUGUCUGAGGGACACAGAUGGACAAGGCCAAGGGCAACAAGAGAGAGAUAAGCC